AUUUCUAAAAACUCAGCUCUAGGCACUGCAGAUGAAGGCAAAGGCUCCAUAGAAGUGAAAUUCUAUUACACAAGUGGCUUAUCCAAAACUUUUUCAGAACAAGGGAGAGUAUGAUAGAGUGCUGAAGCUGAAAGUUUCAACAUGUACUGAAAUAUUCCAAGUUCUUUGUCAUUUCCUGUCAGAACUGAUGUCAUGGUUGCUGCCUUCUCCAAAACUCCAAAUAACCUUCACUGCUAUUAGGAACACAGCUGAUUAUACACACUUGAUCUUCAGCAUCAGUGAGAUGUGGGACAGGGCUGGUUUCCCCACGCUGUGGAGGAGAAACAGUGGUGUGUGCACAUCUACACUGCAGCUCCCAGAGGAGUCACAGGUGAGGAGCUCUGUCAGAAGCCAUUUCACAGGAGCCUCAUUCCCCACCCUGCCACAGCCACACUCAGUGCUGGGAGGCCACAGGGUCAACACUGUCCAGGAGUUAAUUCAGAUUCAAAUUAACCACUUUUAUAGCAAGUUAGUUUUACCCUGAUGACUUUCUUGCUCCAGUUCACUGUACAGUUGCACAAACUCUUAUGUAACUGAAAGGGAAGAGAGUGCUUGUGGGCAGGAGGGGAAGGAGCUGUGAUCUGUGAGUGCCAGAGUACAACGAGCACCAGAGGAGCUUUAUGUCAGCUCAUGGUGUUGGUGAAAAUACAGCAGAGGCUCAUCCUUAAAAGCUACCCUGCAUCUGACUUCUCCUGAAAUUAGUGCUCUGAACCUAUCUGACUUUUCAAAGGUCAUGCAAAAUAUUUCUAAUAGUGCACAAAAUUAACAUAAUUGUGCUGACUAGAAUAGGUGAAAGAAGCCAUUUCAAUCCUGAGGGCCAAGGAAGCUUUAUGCAUACCUUUGGCAAUCCACAUCUUUACUCAAUAGUAACACCAAGGAAUAAAAAAUAAAAAAGAACUGUGGCUGCAGGCUGCAUAGAAUUAAAGAAUAACUCACUUGAGAAUUUUUCUGUUAAUACAAUAUAGUAUUUUCACUGAAAAUUUCCAGGUGCUAAGCAGAAGACAAAGGCACACAGAACUUUUCUGGCUUUUUGCUGAAUUAGCCCUUGAAUUACACUCCCAAGACAGGCCCAUAUUUUUAAACUUUGCAAGCUCAACUAGGCCUAUUAGGAGCAAAGGCAUCUCAGGGCUUUAUGUUUAUCAACAUAAAUAUACAAAAACCCUCCAAACCCUAGCUCUAAUAGGUUCCAUUUAACAAGAUGACAUUGUUUUUUUUUCCCUGUGAUGCUUAUUCUGACAGUGGUACUGGCAAAGGAGCUCCUUCUCUUGUAUGAGCUGUUCCUGCACUGGAGGGAGGAGGGAUAACAUUAGCUCUAGCAGUGCAGCUAUCCCUUUUGAGCACAGAAAAACCUUAAGGAGACAAGAUAUGGCAGGAGGGCCAAAGUAAUAGAUUCUGUUGGGCAGGUAUCUGUGGAAAAACAAAAGUCCCAGCUGUUCUCUGGCACAAUUUGCAAGUAGCAAAAUUUUAAAACUGGCCCAAGCUGCCCAAAGUUAUCUCUUCCUAAUGCCUAUUCACAGUGGGAUUCUACUGAAGAAGGUGUAGAAGUCAGUUUAGCUUCUUUAGCUGAAUCCUUUUCCUGUGUAACUUGAGCUGUCCUGCUUUCUUUGUACUACAGCACACCUGCUGAUGCUGAGGGGCCUCCAUGGCAGAAGCAGGAUGGCAGAACAUUUUACAAAGAAAUGCAGCCCAGCUAUCUUGACAAGUGCUGCAUGUCAAGGCAGUCCUUCAGUCCAGUUGCUUCAUGGUAAAGUUUUCCUUUUUCCUAAGAAAAGAGAAGGAAAAUGAAGAACCUCUUGAACUAAAGACUUGUGUGUCACAUGCAGAUGAGAAACCAGUUUCAUCCACUCAGAGAUAGCAUGCCUGUCCUGUGUCUGAAGGAGUCCAUUAUGACAGAACAAGAUCCGAGAUAGUCUCAAAAUACUGAUAGAAACUGCACUGAUUCUCAUAAGUUAAUUAUGUCAGAUCCAGUCAAGUUAAUUAGAAAACAAUGUUCUUGUUCUGUGAUCAUCCAUGUUUUAUAUCAUUCCCUAUUUCCACUAGCUGCUGGGAAAAUAUUAGCAAGUUUAACAUUGAGGAUGAAUUCUAUUUCUCAUAGAGCUUUUUUUAGCUUAAAAUCCAUGUGACAAAUCUUUUUUAAGGACUUGUCAGUCACGUUCCUUAUCCAUCCAGCACCCUUAGCAUCAAAUGCAUCAUGUACACUCAGCCAGGGCUGUGCUUAGCCUGGCAUGAAGACACAAAUGAAAAGUAAGCAGGGAAAAAUUUUUCAUAUCAUUUCAUAUCUCUGUAAGAAAGAUAUCCAUGAUAGAAGGUCUGUUUUGAAUAUUAAAAAAUACAGAGGCACAUCUUGUCUCCACAAGAAUCAACAGUAGUUUCAGGAAGGACAAGUUUAGACUUAAAGACUCUGAUAAUUAGAGACAUGUCUGUUGAUGAUAUUUUUGUAUGGAUGAAAGUAUUGUUUGUAAGGAAAGCUUCCCUGAAGUAUAUGCCCUGCCACGUGUCCAAAAUCCCUCACCUGUACUGAUUUUAUGUCACUUUAAAAUUGUGAAUGCUUUUAAUGGCUAUUGCUUCUGGACAAAAGUACUAGGUCAUGAGGAAUAAAUAUU